GUCGAACGCUGGCGGCAGGCCUAACACAUGCAAGUCGAGCGAGCGGCGGACGGGUGAGUAAUGUAUGGGGAACUGCCCGAUAGAGGGGGAUAACUACUGGAAACGGUGGCUAAUACCGCAUACCAUCGGAUGUGCCCAUAUGGGAUUAGCUAGUAGGUGGGGUAACGGCUCACCUAGGCGACGAUCCCUAGCUGGUCUGAGAGGAUGACCAGCCACACGGGAACUGCGACACGGCCAAGACUCCUACGGGAGGCAGCAGUGGGGAAUAUUGAACAAUGGGCGCAAGCCUGAUGCAGCCAUGCCGCGUGUAUGAAGAAGGCCUUCGGGUUGUAAAGUACUUUCAGCGGGGAGGCGUUACCCGCAGAAGAAGCACCGGCUAACUCCGUGCCAGCAGCCGCGGUAAUAC
rnacentral:rRNA from 1 species